rnacentral:rRNA from 1 species
GACGAGGGACCCUAGCGUUGUUCGGAAUCAUUGGGCGUAAAGCGGAUGUAGGUUGCUUUGUAAGUCAGGUGUGAAAUCCCAGGGCUCAACCCUGGAAGUGCAUUUGAUACUGCGAAGCUUGAGUGGUGGAGAGGUAAACAGAAUUCCUGGUGUAGUGGUGAAAUACGUAGAUAUCAGGAGGAAUACCGGAGGCGAAGGCGGUUUACUGGCCACACACUGACACUGAGAUCCGAAAGCAUGGGGAUCAAACAGGAUUAGAUACCCUGGUAGUCCAUGCCGUAAACGAUGGAUACUUGUUGUUGGAGGUAUUGACCCCUUCAGUGACGAAGCUAACGCGUUAAGUAUCCCGCCUGGGGAGUACGGUCGCAAGAUUA